AAAAUGCGUAGAUAUAUGGAAGAACACCAGUGGCGAAGGCGGCCGCCUGGCCUGUUGCUGACGCUGAGGCACGAAAGCGUGGGGAGCAAAUAGGAUUAGAUACCCUAGUAGUCCACGCCGUAAACGAUGAGGACCAAGUGUUGGGGGUGAAACCUCAGUGCUGAAGUUAACGCAGUGAGUCCUCCGCCUGGGGAGUAUGCACGCAAGUGUGAAACUCAAAGGAAUUGACGGGGGCCCGCACAAGCGGUGGAGUAUGUGGUUUAAUUCGAAGCAACGCGAAGAACCUUACCAGGCCUUGACAUGGGAUGCGAAGACGCAGAGAUGCGUUGGAGGCAAACAUCCACACAGGUGGUGCAUGGUUGUCGUCAGCUCGUGUCGUGAGAUGUUGGGUCAAGUCCCGCAACGAGCGCAACCCUUGUGGCAUGUUGCUAACAGGAAAGCUGAGGACUCAUGCCAGACUGCCGGUGACAAACCGGAGGAAGGCGGGGAUGACGUCAAAUCAUCAUGCCCCUUAUGGCCUGGGCUACACACGUACUACAAUGGCGGCUACAAAGAGCGGCGAGACAGUAAUGUCGAGCGAAUCUCAUAAAAGCCGUCCCAGUUCGGAUUGGAGCCUGCAACCCGGCUCCAUGAAGUUGGAAUCGCUAGUAAUCGCGGAUCAGCAUGCCGCGGUGAAUACGUUCCCGGGCCUUGCACUCACCGCCCGUCAA
rnacentral:rRNA from 1 species